AUACUACACUGCUCUCCUCUAGACUCAUAUCGCGUUGUUACUGACGAGGACUUUUUUCUAUAAAAAUACUAUAGUACCUUUUCUUGUCCACAGCCUAAGUUGAAAUUAAACAUGAGGGAAUGUAUCAGUAUUUACGUUGGCCAGGCCAGGCCGGAGUCUGGCAAUGCCUGAGUUGUAUUGUCUGGAACAUGGAAUCCAGCCGGACGGUCAGAUGUCCAGUGACAAGACCAUUGGAGGAGGGGACGACUCUUUCAACACCUUCUUCAGUGAACCUGGAUCAGGCAAACACAUCCCCAGGGCAGUGUUUAUUGACCUAGAGCCAACAGUUGUAGAUGAGGAACGUACCGGCACCUACCGUCAGCUCUUCCAUCCAGAACAAUUGAUCACGGGAAAGGAAGAUGCCGCCAACAACUAUGCCCGUGGACACUACACCAUCGGGAAGGUGAUCGUGGACUUAGUCCUGGACAGAAUCCGUAAGCUGGCCGAUCAGUGCACAAGACUUCAGGGAUUCCAGUUUUGGUGGAGGUACUGGAUCAGAAUUCACAUCUCUGCUCUUGGAACGACUUAGCGUUGACUAUGGCAAGAAAUCCAAACUAGAGUUUGCAAUUUACCCCGCUCCCCGUGUCCACUGCAUGCAGUAGUAGAGCCCUACAACUCCAUUCUGACAACUCAUACUACUCUGGAGCACUCGGACUGCGCCAUCAUGGUGGACAAUGAAGCCAUCUUCGACAUCUGUCGCCGCAACUUGGACAUUGAGCGCCCAACCUACACUAACCUGAACCGUCUGAUUGGUCAGAUUGUGAGCUCUAUCACCGCCUCUCUCCGCUUUGACGGUGCCCUCAACGCGGACUUGACAGACCAACUUUGUGCCUUAUCCUCGUAUCCACGGCCCACUUGCCACCUUAUAGUAUACCCCUAUACCUCUGCAGAAAAGGCUUACCAUGAACAACUGACAGUAGCAGAGAUCACAGAUUCCUGCUUUGAACCAGCCAAUCAAAUGGUGAAGUGUGACCCUCAUCACGGUAAGUACAUGACUCGCUGCAUGAUGUACAGAGGAGACGUUGUUCCCAAGGACGUCAAUGCUGCCAUUGCCACCAUCAAGACCAAGCGUACUAUCCAGUUUGUGGACUGGUGUCCCACUGGUUUCAAGGUUGGUGUGAACUAUCAGCCACCCGCCGUGGUUCCUGGUGGUAACUUGGCAAAGGUCCAGCAUGCUUUGUGCAUGUUGAGUAAUACCAACGUCAUUGCCGAGGCUUGGGCUCGUCUGGAUCACAAGUUUGACCUGCUGUACGCCAAGCGAGCCUUCGUCCAUUGGUACGUGGGAGAGGGUAUCGAGGAAGGUGAAUACUCCGAAGCCCGGGAAGAUCUGGUUGCCGUGGAAAAGGAGUACGAGGUCUUUGGCGUCGAUAAAUAAAUUAAUUAAAUGAAUUCGUACAAGUAUGUGAAGCACAGAUAACAUGUAUUACUGGCCUUCAUAUACUAGCUUCUUGAGAUUCUCUAUAAUUAUUCAGAAACUGGUUUAGAACUGCUGACAUCUAGACGAUCAGCGGCUAAACUAGUGACCGUGCACAAGGUUCAUAAUAAGGAAGUUCCACAGUAUCUUAAAUAAGCAAUACCUAGUAAAAUAAUAUAUCCACGUAUGAUCUUCGAAAUGGAGAUAACUCUCCACUACCAAAUUGCAGAUUUUGAAGUUUACUAAAAGUCGUUUAUACUUGAAGAUGUAUUAAAGUGGAACACUUUUAGCACUGAAUCGAAGCAGACUACUUUAAUCAAAUUAUUUCGGAAAAUUGUUUGCUCUUUCUUUCCUCUAACUGUAACAAACUAUCGAAAAUGAUCACUCGUCGUCGCCCUAUGACAAGACAAAUAAACCCAUUUAUUCAUUUCUUGUUUCAAUAGGCCUAUAUGUUUUUUACGCUGUAUACAAAGCUUACAUAUAUUCAUGAGUUUUGGGCUGACAUUAUUUUAUCCGUUUGAACGUGAUAGAACUUACAUACGAAAGAGAGUUGUAUUGUUAUGGAAAAGCUGUUGUUUAAUCUAGGUCUUUUAGUCCGAUUCAUAUCAAAUCUACUCUUAAAGACAUUUUCUUGAAAAUAACAUAAAGGAGGCGCAAUUAAUUAAAAAUAUAUUUUAAUUUUCAUUCGACUUGAAAAAUUCACCCGUAAGUAAUCUAUAUAUUCAUACCUGCAUGUAUUUAUGCAAGAAAUGUCAUUUGAGUGUAAAGCGUCAUAUGAAUAACUGUAGAAUAAAUCAAUAUCUACU
rnacentral:misc_RNA from 1 species